CCUACGGGUGGCAGCAGUGGGGAAUCUUGGACAAUGGACGAGAGUCUGAUGCAGCAAAGCAGCGUGAAUGAAGACUGCCCUAGGGGUUGUAAACUUCUUUUAUAUGGGAAUAAAAUGUUCCACGUGUGGGAUUUUGUAUGUACCAUAUGAAUAAGGAUCGGCGAACUCCGUGCCAGCAGCCGCGGUAAUACGGAGGAUCCGAGCGUUAUCCGGAUUUAUUGGGUUUAAAGGGAGCGUAGGUGGUUUGUUAAGUCAGUUGUGAAAGUUUGCGGCUCAACCGUAGAAUUGCAGUUGAAACUGGGAGUCUUGAGUACAGUAGAGGUGGGCGGAAUUCGAGGUGUAGCGGUGAAAUGCUUAGAUAUCACGAAGAACUCCGAUUGCGAAGGCAGCUCACUGGACUGCAACUGACACUGAGGCUCGAAAGUGUGGGUAGCAAACAGGAUUAGAUACCCGAGUAGUC
rnacentral:rRNA from 1 species